CCUACGGGAGGCAGCAGUGAGGAAUAUUGGUCAAUGGGCGCGAGCCUGAACCAGCCAAGUCGCGUGAGGGAAGACGGUCCUAUGGAUUGUAAACCUCUUUUGUCGGGGAGCAAAAGACGCCACGCGUGGCGUUCCGAGAGUACCCGAAGAAAAAGCAUCGGCUAACUCCGUGCCAGCAGCCGCGGUAAUACGGAGGAUGCGAGCGUUAUCCGGAUUUAUUGGGUUAAAGGGGUGCGCAGGCGGAAGAUCGAGUGAGCGGUAAAAUGAAGAGGCUAAACCUUGUAGAGCCGUUGAUACUGGUUUUCGUGAGUGAGUGAGAGGUAUGCGGAAUGCGUGGUGUAGCGGGGAAAUGCAUAGAUAUCACGCAGAACUCCGAUUGCGAAGGCAGCAUACCGGCGCUCAACUGACGCUCAUGCACGAAAGUGUGGGUAUCGAACAGGAUUAGAUACCCCGGUAGUC
rnacentral:rRNA from 1 species